rnacentral:siRNA from 1 species
AUAAAUUGUUUUCGCGGUGUACCG